rnacentral:tRNA from 2 species
CGGGGCGUAGCGCAGCUGGUAGCGCGUCCACCUUUGGUGGAAGGUCGGUGGUCCGAAUCCACUCGCCCCGACCG